rnacentral:rRNA from 1 species
GACGAACGCUGGCGGCGUGCUUAACACAUGCAAGUCGAACGGAAAGGCCAUGCGUUUGUGGGGUGCUCGAGAGCCGAACGGGUGAGUAACACGUGAGUAACACGCACUUGACUUUCGGAUAACAUCAGGAAAAUGCGGCUCAUACCGCAUAGGAGCUCCUGCAGCACGGGGGGGGUUGGAAAGUUUCGGCGGUUGGGGCUGGUUUCGCGGCUUAUCAGCUUGAUGGUGAAGUAGUUGAUUACAAAGGCUUUGAAGGGUAGCCGGCCUGGGAGGGUGACCGGCCACCUUGGUCCUGCGGUACGCCCCAGUCUCCAACGGUCGGCAGCGGGCGGGAAUAUGGCGCAACGGGCCGAAGCCUGUUACAGCGACGCCGCGUUCGGGAUGACGUCUUUUGGGUUGUAAACCGCUUUCGCCGUUGACGUAGCCGUAUUGACGGUAAUGGGUAAGGAAGCACCGGCUAACUACGUG